rnacentral:lncRNA from 1 species
GAAAGAGUAGAGUCACAUCACCUAGCUACUGGGUUCAGUGAUAUGUCAUAAUCCCUUCUGUGGGCUGGGCCCACAUAAGGAGAGUCAAAUCACUUGGGUGCUGGGAAGAGGCACAUGUCACACGUGCAAGAAGGUCCAAGGAUGAGAUUAAAAAUUCCACAAAGGUCCAAAUUCUAGGGCCCAGACAGAAGAGAAGAGUCACAUCAUCUAGAUGAUGAAUGAAAAGAUAUGUCAUUAUUCUCCUUUGGGCAGUGCUUCUGCAGAAAAGUUGCACCUUCUAGGUGUUGGACUCAGCAAUAUAUCACAAUGUCUGCAGUAUUUUGGAAGGAGAGGAGAGUCACCAUUACUUAGGUGCUAGGCCCAGCAAUACAUCUCAAGCACUUCUUGGGCAAAGCCCAAGCAGUAAAAAAGAGUCACAUUACCUAGGUUCUGGGUAUAGCAAUAUGUCACAAAUGCCCCUAAGAAGAGGGCCCAGGAAAAGAGAGUCACCUUGGUGAGAAUGUCAGAGAUAUUCCAUUUUUGGGUAUUCACAAAAAAGAAUAAAGUCCCAUAACCUAGAAGGUGGGCUCUGCUCCAUGACACAAAUCACCCUAGUGGGCAGGUCCAUUAAAGAGAAGGCUGUCAAAGCACAUAGAUGCUGGGCAAAGUGAUAUGUCAUAAUCCCCAUGAUGAUAGGCCCAGAGACAUGUCACAAUGACCUCUUUAGGCAGAGACCAGGCAGAAGAAUCACAUCACUUGUGUGCUGGCCCUAGUGAUAAGUCACUCUCAUUUCUGUGGACAUGGCCCAGGCAGAAGAGCAGAGUCACAUUACCUAAGCGCUGGGUCAAGAGAUAUGUCACAAUCUUUUACAUGGGCAAAACCCAGUCUAUCUUCAAUUUACAGACCUUGGCUUUUCUACCCCAAUUCAAGAAGUCACUUCUUCAGUCAACCAAACCAAUUACAAAAUUGUGUUCCAAUGUCACAUGUUCAAAAAUAAACAGUUCCUGAAAAGAUGUAAGCUUUAAAUGGAAUUAGUCAGC